GGCUGCGGACGGAAGUAUACUGCGCGUCUGUGCAGCUUCUCACGCAGUUUGACAGUGGUCCAUGAAGAGGCAGUCCGCACCAUUCCUCUCACAGCCUCCCACAGCAGCAUCCCGUCCACAGCAUGGCGUCAGACGAGCUGGCUCAGAAGCUGCAGGCGCGGCUGUCCAUUGCGCUGGACACAGAACCCCGUCCGGAACUCGAGCUGAGUCCGGCCCGGCCCAAACCGCAGGAGAGCGAGGCAGCCUGCGGCGACUCGACGUCCGAGCUCUCCGUUAAACUGAACCGCAGACUGGACAUCAACGAUGGCAACGCAGCUCCUCGACCCACCCGUGUUUUCAACCCUUACACGGAGUUCAAGGAGUUCUCCCGCAAACAGAUAAAGGACAUGGAGGCGAUGUUCCGACGAUAUGACACAGGCAGAGACGGCUUCAUCGACCUGAUGGAGCUGAAGCUGAUGAUGGAGAAGCUCGGAGCUCCGCAGACUCACCUGGGCCUCAAGAACAUGAUCAAAGAGGUGGACGAGGACUUUGAUGGGAAGUUGAGUUUCAGAGAGUUCUUGCUGAUCUUCCGUAGAGCAGCAGCCGGAGAGCUGCAGGAAGAGAGCGGCCUGAUGGCGCUGGCCAGACUGUCAGAGAUCAACGUCUCCACUGAGGGAGUGAUGGGAGCCAAGGAUUUCUUUGAAGCCAAGGUACAGGCUCUGUCCGUGGGCAGCAAGUUUGAGGCCGAGAUCCGAGAGGAAAAAGAGGAAAAGAAGAGACAGGAAGUGGAGAAGAAGCAGCGGCAGGCCGCCUUCAAGCAGCUGCAGUCGGCGUUCUGCUCCUGACCGUCUGGAGGACAGCGUCACAGUACCACGGCGUUUAACCAGUGUCACAGUUAUGUCCUCGUCUGGCACUUUCUAACAGCUAUAGUUAAGAUCAGCUUAGGUUCAUCUCCACUGAGGUUCAUGAAAGUCUCCUUAGAUCUGAUCUGUCGGCAGAUGUUCCUGCUGCCAGAUCUUUCUGCAGGUGUUCCAUCAAACCACACGGAGGAACGACAACAGUUGUAAACAGUAAGCUCAAAUGCAUGAGGAAAUAUUACGUGAGCGCCUUUUAUUCCUGCACGUUUCAUGAGUUUCUCCUGCAUUUCCUCUGUUGUGUGUUUUUGUGUAACUGCUCAAUUUUACCAUCAGAUGUUUUUUUUUUCAGUGUGCGGUUGUUGUUUGUGACUGACUGUGAUUGUUUCACGUUGAAGUUCACCUUUUUUGAUUUUUGUUUUUACCUCGUUAACCCCGUUUCACAGUGUUACCGUCACCUUCAUAUCUUAUCUUUAUGAACAAACAGUGUGAACCAAUCAUGUCGUUGUUAACGUGAUGCGUUUUCCUGUUUAUGAGUUCUUAGAGUUCCUGUUUGUCAGGUAACGUUAUGGCACAACCUUUAACCUUGGAUUAGAUUUAGGCACAAGAGCACAUUAUCACAACUGGAAGAAAACGAUGUGUUUUUUUUUUCCAAUAGCCUCACUGCCCUUCUAAUAAAAACACUCCAGAAAUGUCCCGAUAACCAAACCACAAAUCCUCCAUUGUUUGGUCGGCAGCUGCACCUGACCUCCGCUCAGCUGUGGUCACUAAGAUCAUAUGGCAAAUUCCACAGUCAAGACGGAGGUUUGUUCAAGGAUUAUUCCAGUGUUUACAGGGAAUACCCCUGAUGUUGACUUCCUGAGAGUGAAGUGAGAAAGUUGUUUUUUUAACCUAAACAACAUGUACCUCUCGGCCCGCUCCGUGGAAGCAAAGUUAAACAAAUUAAAAGCAGAUAUUGACAUCUGAAAAUGUCCAGUUAUUAAGUUGAUUAACACUGGGAAUAAAUCACGAUUCAUACAGAUAAAUCAAAUAUGAACAAAAAUAUUUUUUAUAUCUCCAUACAUUGCUGGUACAGAAAGACAAAUGUUCCCUUUUUUUCUUCCAGCAACUGUAUUACAUCACAGCCACACGAGGGGGCGGUGUCCGCAAUUAGUGAUAGUUUUUUUUUUGUUUUUGUUUUGUUUAUCCCUGGCCUUAGAUCACCAGAAAAAGUGAAAUAAUAACGAAGGACUGCUUACCUGCAUGUGUUUGAGGUUUAAACUUCCGUUACCUCGGCAGUGAGGCUAUUCACAAAAAAACUAAACAAAAAAACAUCAUGUGACUUUUACGUGUUGUUUGUUUAUGUAACUCUAAAAGAGUAAACGAUGUAUUCACUGUGAGUGAAGUACACACUGUGGUACUGCAGUAUCAGCCGCUAUGCAUCACUAGUACCUUGAGGGUGUUGACCUUUGCUAACCUUUGACUGUAGCGUCACUAGUCACGUGACUGUAUGACGCACUGAUCACUCAUCGUGACCCAUUCCAGCUGGUUGUGUUGCUGUUACUGCGGCACUAAACCGGGUUGAUACAUUUAACAAAACGUCAUCUUUACAGUCGUUAGGUUAUUAUGACGCAUUCUGUGGCAACAAUAAAAAUAUUAACAGAAAAAUUGAAUU